GGUGUGUGUCUGCGAGGGAAGGAGGGAGCGCAGGGGGAGGGGGUGAGUCACGGCCGCGCCCCCGCGGGCGCGAGGCUGGAGCGAGGGCUGCGGGAGCCUCGCCCGCCGCCUGCGCCCCGUGCCCCCUGCCUGGCGGCUGGGCCAAACGGGUCGAGGAGGGUCUCGUCCCGAACUGUCCUUCGGGAGUAGGACUCAAGAGGGGUCAAGAUUCCCAACACCCCCAAAUGCCUGCUGAGGGUCGCCUCCGUUUCCUCGGAGACCCCUCGAAACCCCAUCAUUCAUCCACCCUGCUGAGGAACCCGAGCCCCAAGGCCGCGUGAAAUUGCACUGUCUCCGGCCGCUUCCUCCUCCAGACCCGGCGCCGGCCGGGCCUCUCCCGGGGAUUUGGCUGGGGGGCGGGGGUGGUUUCCAGCCUGGGAACAGACCCGAAGCCCGCCUUCCCUCUUCCACCCCGGGGGGGCUCCCGCACCUGUCGCCGUCCCCUCUGCUGCCCCCCACGGCCGCCUGGGAGAACAGCUGCUUCCCCUUCCACACGAGCCGGAGCGCGCCGUCGGGGCGCCUGGAGUUCUGCUGCUCUGCGGGGACGGAGAGGACCUAAUUAUUCUCUCCAGAGUUUCAAGCCUGAAGACGUCAAGAACAGUUGAGCUCUAGCCGGUUUGGCUCAGUGGAUAGAGCGACGGCCUGUGGACUGAGGGCUCCCAGGUUCGAUUCCGGUCAAGGGCACAUGCCCGGGUUGCGGGCUCAGUCCCCAAUGGGGGGCGUGCAGGAGGCAGUCGAUCAGUGAUUGUCUCUCAUCAUUGAUGUUUCUCUCCCUCUCCCUUCCUCUCUGAAAUCAAUAAAAAUAUAUUAAAAAUAAAAAAUAACAGUUGAGCUUUAGUGAAGAAAAAUUUCGCCGGUAGCUAAAAUUCUUGAAACUUACUGUGUAUUACUAGGGCCUGCUCUCUGCUGAAGGCUUACCUUUGCUCUAGGGCGUUGGCCUGGCCCUGACUACCUGCAUAACAAUCCUAACACGGCAAUAACAACAUCAAUGAAACAUUAACGUAUGCAUGCACAACCACUGCAUUUGCAAGCGUUUCCUACAACUUAGAGAAUGCUCCACUUCACAUAAAAAUGUGUGCUAGCCAGACAUCUGUCCACAGUUUAUGGAGCUGCAAAGGUGUGACUUCCCAAGGUCAUCCACCUGGUGACAGGGUGGAUGAGUAGGAGGGGCUCGGGUUUUUGCCCAGGAUUUCUUUAUGUCACACUGAGACCGGAGCUUCAUCUGCUCAGAAUCAAACCCCCAUCAGAUAACUGAAUUACAUGCCAGGUUAAGGAGCCUUUCAUUUUAUUACUCACCCACCUCAACCUAGUGUUCAAGGCCCUGAUUCGGAAGGAGGAAACCCCUUUUAGUUUUUUGUUUAUAAAACAGUCGUAUCUAUCUAUUAAGGUUGUUGUUCAGAUUUAAUGAGAAAAGGCUGGUAGAGCUCUUAAUUACUGUGCUAUGCUGGAUCUUUAGAAGCAUUCAACGAAUGCUUGCUGUAUUUAGUCCUACUAUCACCAGCCCCUCCCUUCUCCCUCCCCAACUAAAUCCCACGAUGCGUUGCUGGUAUCCAUUCUUCAAUACAUAGAGAAGCAUCCAGCUAAGAGCAUCAGGGAUAUAACCUGGAUAAAGCUGACCAGUAAGGGUGCUACCCUGACUACAUAACUAAAGGAAGGCUUUGUUCACAAAAGCUCUCUGCACUUACCUGGCACCAUUUACUUUUCCUUACUUUCUUUUAAAAUAUAUUUUCAUUUAUUUCAGAGAGGAAGGGAGAGGGAGAGAGAGAGGGAAAUAUCAAUGAUGUGAGAGAAUCAUUGAUUGGCUGCCUCCAGCACGCCCCACACUGGGGAUGGCGCCCACAACUAGGCAUGUGCCCUGACCAGGAAUCCAACCAUGACCUCCUGUUCAUAGAUUGAUUGAUGCUCAACCACUAAGCCAUGCCAGCCAGGCUACUUUUCCUUACUCUUUUUUUUUUUUCUUUUCCUAAUUGAUUUCAAAGCAGAAGAGAAAGAAACAUCAAUGAUGAGAGAGUACCAUUGAUGAGUUGCCUCCUGCAUGCCCACAAUGGGGAAUCUAGCCCACAACAGGGGCAUAUGCCCUGAUUGGGAAUUGAACUGUGAACUCCUGGUUCAUAGGUCGUCACUCAACCACUGACCCACACCAAUCAGGCAUUACUCUUAAUUGAUGACUUUGGUUCUAAUUUUACUGUGAAAAUUAAAAGUAACCGGAAGAAAACAUCCUAUCUUUCUACCACCAAUCUGGCCAAUUUUCCUCCAUCCUGAUUCCAUCUUGUUACAAUGGAUUGUCCUUGCUGCUAUUAGACCAACUCUCACUCCCCCAUUCCCACCUCUCACCCCACCCUCCAGUUCUACACCUCAGCCCAUUCCUUGCCUUUCUCCUGUACUGUUCUCCUAUAUUAUUCCCCUUUUCCUAUAUUACCCAAUUCUCUCUGUACUGGAUCAUUCCCAUUAGCAUACAAAUGAGCUGUAAUAUCUGCCAUUAAAAAAUACAAUAAAACAAGUAAACUUUCUUUUACCCCUUGGGCUUCUAGUCCUGUGCUCCUAACUGCGGCAAGAUGUUCUGUCUUGUGGAUUCCUACUCUGAUUGCCUCUAGUUUCUGGCUACCACAUCGAUGUUGCAAGAGCAAUAAAAUGCCUUUUUACUUGUCUCCUUUGGUUCUGUGAUAACUUCUUGUGCAUAUUGAGCUGCACACUCUGGAAUAUCACACCAUCAGCCAUGGGGUUUCUGUAUCCCAACUUCCUCACCAAUACUUGACAUUAUUCAAGUUUCCUUUUUUUUUUUUCAUUUGCCAUGAAUUAAAAAUAUUUCAAUGCA